UAAGAUUCGACGGAACCGAAUUUCAUCUCGCUUUUCACUCGUCUCUCUUUCCUUCCCACCCCUGUUCUGCCACGGCGAGCUUCCUCUGUCCCCGACAUCACCGAUGUGUCAUGGGAUUUGGGAUUUGGUUGCAGAUUCUCAUGGGACUGAACAGACGCCAUCUUGGAGUCCAAGCGGGGUCUCAUCAUGCAGCAUUCGUAGCUCCUACGAAUAAAUGCUGAGCCACAGUUGUGAUUCUUCGAAAGUCUGCCAUGAAAAAGGUCCGACGGAGCAACGCACACAUGACCUCCCACAGGUGGAAGUAAUUGCAACCAAUUGUUGACAAUGGUGAGAAGGCUCCAGAUGGACGUUUAAGCCGUGGACAGGAAUCCAUAUUUGGCCCAUUUCUGCCUGUUUUUUAUCUAGAUGUACUCCUAUAACAUUUUACGUCAUGCACUGCAUUAGAUUUUAAAAGUAUAGCAUUUAUUUGAAUUAAAUGAAAGAGUAGCAGAUACAGAAACACUUUUCUUAAUCUGCGGAAAAAGCAAUAAACAACUGAAAUAUGUAA